CCAUUUGCACGUGUGCUGCCAACAGACCAUUCUCUCCUACACAUGAGAUUUAACCAGACCCAAAAGCUAUAAACCUACAGACGUUUCAUUGUUGAUUUGGAAGGAGAAGAAACAGUAUGGGCUGUAAGAACUGGAAAAGAUUUCUUCUGACUAUUAAACUCUGAGCUAUUUCAAAGCAAUAGAUUCUAGCUAUAGAGUGUUUAAUAAAAUGAGGAGGUUUGGGAUCUUCCAAGCUAUGUUUCAUUUCCUAACCCUAGACCAUGCUUCUGCAACUGGAACUAGAGAUCAAUGGGAAGAACAACAAGG
rnacentral:lncRNA from 1 species